rnacentral:lncRNA from 1 species
GCUCCUCGGAAGACGAUUCACCCACUGACCAAGCAGCGCUGGGUUUUCACCCACAGCGGUUAAACCUGAGCCCAGUCCAUCAGCAGACGGAAAACCUCUCGCCUGGUGCCCGCUUCAUCCUGGAACAGCUAAGAUGGUGUUAAUUCCACGGUAGCAGCAGUUUCCUUGACCACCCCGUGUAAGACUCACAGCCACAAACGG